rnacentral:rRNA from 1 species
AAUUAAAGUAGUAAUAAAAAUAAAACUUAUUUAUUAUGGCGGCAUUACAUCUAACCAGAGGAACUUGUUUCUUAAUCGAUAAUCCACGAUAAAUCUAACUUUAUAAUCUAACUUAUAUACCGUCAUUAUAAAAAUUUAUUAAAAAAUUUAUUUUAAAUAAUAUAUAACAUAUUAGAUCAAGGUGUAGUUUAUAAUAAAGGGAACAAUGAGUUACUUUAAAAAAAAAUUUAAAGAUUAUUUUACUAAAAUAUUAAAUGAAAAAGAAUUUGAUAGUAAUAAAAUAAUAAUAAUUUUAUAUGACU